GGACUACAAGGGUAUCUAAUCCUGUUUGCUCCCCACGCUUUCGCGCCUGAGCGUCAGCUGUCGGCCAGGGCACUGCCUUCGCCAUAGGUGUUCUUCCGGAUCUCUACGCAUUUCACCGCUCCACCCGGAGUUCCAUGCCCCUCUCCGACGCUCAAGCCCGCCCGUUUGCCUGGACCUCUCCCGGUUGAGCCGAGAGCUUUCACCAGACACGCGACAGGCCGCCUGCGCGCCCUUUACGCCCAGUAAUUCCGGACAACGCUUGUCUCCUACGUAUUACCGCGGCUGCUGGCAC
rnacentral:rRNA from 1 species